rnacentral:misc_RNA from 1 species
GUUCCUCUUGCGAAACGUAGGAGACGAGCAGCUGGACCUGCAGUCGGAGACGGAAGCGCCCUGGAGCCUGGCUGUCGCGCGUCAAACUUGCGCUGCCCGCUGUACUCCCAAUGAAGCGAGCAACAGCCACAGCUUGGAGCUUAGUCUUCCACCGCGUAGUUCUACAGAGAUGAUAGUGGAAGUUACUGUGAGAACAAAUGAAGUAUGGCCGGAAGUGGAGACAUAUUGGCCGAGAUCGGUCUCGAGUUCUGCUCUCUACUUCAAAGAUCCGUACGAGGCUGUGUUAUUG